AGAGUUUGAUCAUGGCUCAGAACAAACGCUGGCGGCGUGCCUAACACAUGCAAGUCGUACGAGAAAGUCCGCUUCGGUGGAUGAGUAAAGUGGCGCACGGGUGAGUAACGCGUGGAUAAUCUACCCUUUAGUCUGGAAUAACUUAUCGAAAGGUGAACUAAUACCGGAUAAUAUCCCGAUUUCUUCGGCGAUCGGGAUCAAAGAAGGCCUCUGCUUGCAAGCUUUCACUGAAGGAUGAGUCCGCGUACCAUUAGCUAGUUGGCAGGGUAAUGGCCUACCAAGGUUAUGAUGGUUAGCUGGUCUGAGAGGAUGAUCAGCCACACUGGAACUGAAACACGGUCCAGACUCCUACGGGAGGCAGCAGUGAGGAAUAUUGCGCAAUGGGGGCAACCCUGACGCAGCAACGCCGCGUGAGUGAGGAAGGUUUUCGGAUUGUAAAGCUCUGUCGAGCGGAAAGAAGUGCAUGGUGGUUAAUAUCCAUCAUGCUUGACGGUACCGCUAAAGGAAGCACCGGCUAACUCCGUGCCAGCAGCCGCGGUAAUACGGGGGGUGCAAGCGUUGUUCGGAAUCAUUGGGCGUAAAGCGCGUGUAGGCGGCUGGACAAGUCAGAUGUGAAAGCCCUGGGCUUAACCCAGGAAGUGCAUUUGAAACUGUUCAGCUAGAGUAAGGGAGAGGAAAGUGGAAUUCCUGGUGUAGAGGUGAAAUUCGUAGAUAUCAGGAGGAACACCGGUGGCGAAGGCGACUUUCUGGCCCUAUACUGACGCUGAGACGCGAAAGCGUGGGUAGCAAACAGGAUUAGAUACCCUGGUAGUCCACGCUGUAAACGAUGUUCACUAGGUGU
rnacentral:rRNA from 1 species